rnacentral:rRNA from 1 species
AGCGAACGCUGGCGGCAGGCUUAACACAUGCCAGUCGAGCGGGCAUCUUCGGAUGUCAGCGGCAGACGGGUGCGUAACACGUGGGAACGUACCCUUCGGUUCGGAACAACUCUGGGAGACUGGAGCUAAUACCGGAUACGCCCUUAUGGGGAAAGGUUUACUGCCGAAGGAUCGGCCCGCGUCUGAUUAGCUAGUUGGUGGGGUAACGGCCUACCAAGGCGACGAUCAGUAGCUGGUCUGAGAGGAUGAUCAGCCACACUGGGACUGAGACACGGCCCAGACUCCUACGGGAGGCAGCAGUGGGGAAUAUUGGACAAUGGGCGCAAGCCUGGUCCAGCCAUGCCGCGUGAGUGAUGAAGGCCUUAGGGUUGUAAAACUCUUUUGUCCGGGACGAUAAUGACGGUACCGGAAGAAUAAGCCCCGGCUAACUUCGUG